GACGAACGCUGGCGGCGUGGAUUAGGCAUGCAAGUCGGACGGUAGGGCUUUAUCGUAAGAUAGAGUUUGAGAGUGGCGAACGGGUGAGUAACACGUAGGAAUCUACCCUUAAGACGGGGACAACCCAGGGAAACUUGGGCUAAUACCGGAUGAGAGUGCGAGAGAUUGCAUUUAAAAGGAUGGCGAAAGUUGUCGCUUAGGGAUGAGCCUGCGGUCUAUUAGUUAGUUGGUGAGGUAAGAGCUCACCAAGGCGAUGAUAGAUAGGCGGCCUUAACGGGUGGUCGCCCACACUGGGAUUGAGAUACGGCCCAGACUCCUACGGGAGGCAGCAGUCGAGAAUAGUCUACAAUGGCCGGAAGGCUGAUAGUGCGACGCCGCGUGAACGAGGGAGCCCUUCGGGGUGUAAACUGCUGUCGUGUAGGGAGAAGGGUACUAAGGUGAACAAUCUUAGUACUUGACGGUACUACAGGAGGAAGCCCAGGCUAACCUCGUGCCAGCAGCCGCGGUAAACAUACUCG
rnacentral:rRNA from 1 species